GAUAAGCCGAGACCGAUCACGCACGCGGACAGGAUCCCGACAUUGAGUUUUCGUAACCCGUAAUUUCCAGGCAUCGUCGACACCACGCUACGCUGUGAACCGUUACUGACUGUCCCGGAACGCUACUGGAUCGCUAUCGCUCUCGAGAUUGCUUCGAGACGUUUUGAUGACGUCGUACUUUAAUAACAAGAAGGUAGACUGUAAGGCGAGGAUCGAUAAUGGAGCAUUAAGGACAUCAUCGAACCACUCUCUUCGCUGUCGACGACGAUUUGAGCGUAUGCUCGAUGAUGCGGAAAAUAUCUUGCUGGAACAAAUUUACAUGUAAUUGCAUAAGACUCGAUAUAAAUUGCAACGCAUUCUUAACA